rnacentral:lncRNA from 1 species
AGGGGUCAAACCACAAAGUGUGUCCUGGGGGAGAGUGCUGCCCGCCAGAGGUGUUGGUGUCGGGGUAAAGCCCGGAGUGGCAGGGGCACUGGGAGCACUGGGGAGCCGAUAUGGCAACAAAGGGAUGAAGACUGGACUUGGACGUUAUGGAGCCCAGCUUGGUAAUGGAGGUUACAGAGCUCUCGGACUGGGAGGUAGAACAGGGGGAUACGGGACCCCGGGAGGCUACGGUACCUCCUUAAAGUCACUCUUUACAUUAACUCCUCACCUUCUGCCGUCUUUAAACACCUUCUGCAUCUGCUGCUCUGCAGGCGGCGGCAUGGGUGCAGGACUGGGCGCCGGGGGCGGCCUCCCCAACGGACUGACCCUCGGGUUGGGUCAGGGGGGAAAACGUGGUGAGACACACGACAAGCGUAACAGCUCUGGAAGUCAGGCUUUAAAAUGAAUCGCACAACGAUGGAGCUUUAUUAAACUGGAGUUGAUGCAGAUAGAAG